AGGCGGCGGCGAAAGCUACAUUCCGAGAGUGCACCAUGCCGAGGCUGUUUCUGAAGUGCGGCACGAGCACGGGCGGCGCCCCCGAGGCUGCGGACGCCGUGGGUGCACAACCUCCCGGCGUUCGACGUGGCAUCCAGCACGUCGAGGGCGAGGCCGCUGGAACCCGCGCACGCCCACGCGCCGCGCCACGCCCGGUCCGUGUUCGAGCUGCCGUUCGAUGCCGCGGCGCUGGAGGAGGAGGAGGAGGCGAAGGCGAAGCUGGGACCCGGCGGCCGUGGCACGACAUGCGCUGCCGGUUGGACGGGCCGGCGUCGUACGACGUCGUCGACAACUUCGAGCAGCGGUGGAGGAAGACCAAGAGGUUGCGCCUGCGGGGGGUGCUACCAUUCGGCGAGAAGGCGCACUGGAUGGACUGUAUAGCCUGAAACUGUUUUGAGAUCUAAGAGCAGGUAGCAGGACGAGAGCAGCAGCUGAGUGCUGAACUGGUGGCUCUCGAGUUGAAGUCUGAACACGCUGCGUCUUUUCCGCAAGCCAUCUGUGUAAAUCUUCAAGCAGUUUCUUCUUUCACAUUAGUUUGCCCAUCAUGAAGCAAGAACCAAGAGUUGAUCGGUGCUGUUAGAAUCAUGUAAUGCUCGGAGCUGUGUCACAAAUUAUUUUGAACGAAGUUGGGCAGUGCUCUGUUAAUUUCAA